GGCCUAAAAGCCACAGACACUCAGGGCUCUGGCCAGAGGCUGCCCCAGCACAGCCAUAGAAAUGGGGACAGUGGAAGGCACCAUCCUGCUGGCCAGAGGAGGGGCCCUGGCCCGAGAGAGGACCUGAGCCGACUAGGGAUCAUUCAAAGCCCAAAGCAAACAGCAUUCUCAAGGAGAAGAGGGUGUUCAGACCCUGCUGUGAGGCCCCAAGUCGUGAAAUGAGCCUGAGCCCUUGCCCAGUAUGGAUGGGCCCAAGCAUGUCCUCUGAGGCCUUUUGACAAGUGACUGGCUGGCUUUGGCUCCUGCCUGUGGCCCUGACAUGCUGAUGGGCCAGGAGGGUGAAAGUCUGAUUCCAUGAGAUACAAACAACAGAAACUUUACAUUUGGGACCCUUCUCGACCUCAUCUUAUGUAUUUUUUGGCUUAACAAAAACUUAAUUCAGAAAUCCAUUCAAUGUGAUUUGUUUCCACAAAA